ensembl:lncRNA
UCGUUAUGGUCCUUUUCAACCCAGGCCAUUCUAUGAUUCUAUGGUAGCGCAGCUGAAGUUCCUUCUGCAGUCACUGGGGCAGCUUUCCCACCUCCAGACCUACAGGCAACAUACACACAAAGUGCAGCACGGCUGUUUGUGCUCCACACUCAGAGAGCAAGUUGUCAAGUUAGAGCUUUACAAGGACCAUGGAGGUGUGGCACUGAUGGACAUGGUUAGUGGGCAUGGUGGGAAUGGGUUGGGGUUGGAUUUGGUGACCCUAGAAUCAUUUAGGUUGGAAAAGACCACUAUGACAUCAACACUGAUUGUACUUCAGAUGGGUUCUUUUGGAGGGGUUUCAUUAUCUUCCAAAAGCUGAAGCCAGGCUGCAUUCUCUCCAUAUAAUGACAAAGUUAAUUCCUCCCUCUGCAAAUUUCUACAUUCUGCAUCCAAAUUUGCUUCAUUUGACAGGAUUUACUGGUAAAUGCAGAAGAGAAGGACAGCUUGCAAGGAAAUAACAAAGCCAAAAUAGAUUUGGUUAAAGCUAGUAAAACAAGGCUUUUUUUUACUAGGCUAAAACGGAACUGCCAUUACCCAACCAGAGAAUUAAUUAAUCAAAAUCACUACUCAUAGCAAUUAAUGAGAGAAACAAACAAACAAACAAACAAACAAAAACCUGAGAGAAAUCCUUAUGAUCCCCUCCUUCCCAUAACGCGGGACAUACCCCAGGAAUCCUUCAAUCCUCACUGCCACAGAGCUUCAGCAGAACGUUCCUGUAGUCUCCUGAGCAGUCUCCCUGGGAAUACAAAGCAUCUUCCAGGUCUCCUGACACCUCGGAUUUAAUGCUGCCUGUUAUGUCCUCCUUAGCAAUGCCUCCAUAUACAUCAAAAACUAGGAAGAAGAGUCCAUGGCAGAACGUCAGAGUGAUGCAAAGCACUCGCUUUGCAACAACAAGCUCCUCAUGUGCUGCAUGAAGGCUGUAUGAUUCCUGCAGCAUUGUCAGCUGAAUCAGGACCGUCCCACAGAAGUAAUUCAUUUUCACUGCUGACGGUCCUGCUAAUUGGCCUACCACAGCCGCUACCAUUUUCAAGACCUGCUACUUCAUGCUGGCAGAUGAAUGUCUUAGCUCCUCUCCCCCCUGCCCCAAUGGCAGUCACACUUCACGAUCUCUGCUUUCCAUGCUGGAGCAGCAGCAAGUUCUAUGUAGGGUUCUGAAGUCCCUUUCAGCCUCAGGAGGGAACAAAACAGCCCAAGUGGAAUGGAUGCAAUGGGGCUCUCUUGAGGACACCUCAUAUCUCAGAAGAGUUUGCACUUCCUGAACACCUAUGAAGCUCCUACAAAAGCAUCACGCACAAACAAGGAAGGGAAGAAAAACCCAGGGCACCGCGUGAGUGCGGCUGUUGGUGCCCAUCGACGACCCCGAGAAGGUGAUCUGCGUGGGGCUGAAGUACCGCGACCGCUGCCUGGAGCAGGACGUCAAGGUGCCCACGGAGCCCCUCAUGGUCAGCAAGUUCCCCAGCGCCAUCGCCGGGCCCCAGCCACCCGCCCAGAGACCCCGCUCCUCCACCUGCAGGCAGCCGACAGCUCGCCGCUCUCCAGGAAGGCCCGCAUGGAGCGGGGCAGGGCGGGCUCGGCCUCGCUGAGGUCCACCAAUCCCCUCCUCCUUCUCCUCUCC